GUGCCAGCCGCCGCGGUAAUACCGGUAGCCCGAGUGAUGGCCGCUAUUAUUGGGCCUAAAGCGUCCGUAGCCGGCCAGACAGGUCCGUCGGGAAAUCCAGUGGCUUAACCACUGGGCGUCCGGCGGAAACCAGCUGGCUUGGGGCCGGAAGAUCUGAGGGGUACGUCCGGGGUAGGAGUGAAAUCCCGUAAUCCUGGACGGACCGCCGGUGGCGAAAGCGCCUCAGAAGGACGGACCCGACGGUGAGGGACGAAAGCUAGGGUCACGAACCGGAUUAGAAACCCUAGUAGUCC
rnacentral:rRNA from 1 species